rnacentral:rRNA from 1 species
GUCUGACGGAGCACGCCGCGUGAGUGAUGAAGGUUUUCGGAUCGUAAAACUCUGUUGUUAGGGAAGAACAAGUACAAGAGUAACUGCUUGUACCUUGACGGUACCUAACCAGAAAGCCACGGCUAACUACGUGCCAGCAGCCGCGGUAAUACGUAGGUGGCAAGCGUUGUCCGGAAUUAUUGGGCGUAAAGCGCGCGCAGGCGGUCCUUUAAGUCUGAUGUGAAAGCCCACGGCUCAACCGUGGAGGGUCAUUGGAAACUGGGGGACUUGAGUGCAGAAGAGAAGAGUGGAAUUCCACGUGUAGCGGUGAAAUGCGUAGAGAUGUGGAGGAACACCAGUGGCGAAGGCGACUCUUUGGUCUGUAACUGACGCUGAGGCGCGAAAGCGUGGGGAGCAAACAGGAUU